GACCCAGAUCAAGUUUGACUGAAAGGCAAACACCAUUCCCAACUGGCUUUACCAUCUGUCUUUCCACAGAGACAACUCACAGGCUAUAAAGUGCUUAACAUUUCCCUGGCUUCAGAAGGCACUAGGGAAGGAGAGCUUAAGGUAUAAUUUAAAAAAAAAAAAGAAGAAGAAGAAGAAGAAAGAAAACCACAUCUUGGUUAACUGAG
rnacentral:lncRNA from 1 species